rnacentral:rRNA from 1 species
GAUGAACGCUGGCGGCGUGCCUAAUACAUGCAAGUCGAGCGAACAGACGAGGCGCUUGCUCCUCGGACGUUAGCGGAGCACGUGUGUGUAACACGUGGAUAACCUACCUAUAAGACUGGUAAAACUUCGGGAAACCGGAGCUAAUACCGGAUAAUCUAUUGAACCGCAUGGUUCGAUAGUGAAAGACGGUUUUGCUGGCACGUAUAGAUGGAUCUGCGCGGCAUUAGCUAGUUGGGGAGGUAACGGGUUAUCAAGGGAAGCAUGCGUAACCGACGUGAGAGGGUGAUCGGCCACACUGGAAGUGGGACGGGGACCAGAGGACUGAGGGAGGCACCAGAAGGGUACGGUACGCAGUGGGGGAAAGUAUGACGGAGCAAGGCGGCGCGAGAGAUGAAGGUGCUCGGAGCGUAAUACUCUGUUAUGAGGGAAGAACAAAUGUGUAAGGUGCUAUGCACGGCUUGACGGUAACUGAUCAGAAAGCCACGGCUAACUACGUG